CGAUUAACUGGUCUAAAAGGGCAAACAUGAUAAUUUGACUACCUUUGAUACGUUUAAUAAAUUAAAAGUGUAGGAAAAUUUCUUGAAGAUAUACAAAGUGCAAAAAAUAUUAAUUGAAACAAAUAAACAAAACAUAUAUAGGAAUUUUGCAAUAUAAAGUGAGCAAUAUAUUUCUAUCUUUUGCAAGCUUAGGAGAAAAAAAAAUGGUCAAGAUUAUUAUUUUUGUUUAUUUGAUGAUCCUCUUUUUCUCCUUAUGUCUUGUUGUUACCAACAUUAGUGGUAAAUCAUUUUCGCAUUCUAUGAAGUAUAAUUUUUUGUUUAUCUAAUAAAAUAUAUUAUCCUUUCAAUAAUAUUUUUUCUUCUUUUUUUUUUAUAAUUAUUUUUCAGCAAUGGCACCGCCAAAAUGCAAGGAGGCUUCUGAUUGUCCAUAUUUUUUUUGUCUGUCUCCUUUUCUUGUAAAAUGCAUUUUUGAUCAAUGUUACUGUCGUCCAUGAGAGGGUAAGAGUUUGUUAUUGUGAUCUUAUGGAACAUAGUUGAAAUAUCAUAUUAGAGAGUUGUUAAAUGGCCAUUAGAGCUCUCAAUUAAUGAAAAAAAUUCCUUUCUUGAUUUUUUUUAACUUGCACUUAUUCAAAAAUAAGAAUUGAAUUAAC
rnacentral:lncRNA from 1 species